rnacentral:rRNA from 1 species
AGUGAACGCUGGCGGUAGGCCUAACACAUGCAAGUCGAACGGCAGCACAGUAAGAGCUUGCUCUUACGGUUGGCGAGUGGCGGACGGGUGAGGAAUACAUCGGAAUCUACUUUUUCGUGGGGGAUAACGUAGGGAAACUUACGCUAAUACCGCAUACGACCUACGGGUGAAAGCAGUGGAUCUUCGCACCUUUCGCGAUUGAUUGAGCCGAUGUCGGAUUAGCUAGUUGGCUGGGUAAAGUCCCACCAAGGCAACGAUCCGUAGCGUGCCUGAGCGGAUGGUAAGCCACACUGAAAUGGGGAAACGGCCCAAAUCCUAAGGGGGGGAACAAGUGGGGAACAUUGGAAAAUGGGGGAAACCCGGAUCAAGCAAGCCGGGGUGGGUGAAGAAGGCUUCGGGGUUGUAAAGCCCGUUUGUUGGGAAAGAAAAGCAGCAGGUUAAUACCCCGCUGUUCGGACGGUACCAAAAGAAUAAGCACCGCCUAACUUCGU